UGUAUAAACACUAGAACCGCAACGGAUCUUAAAAGCAUAAGUAUUGUAUCAUUGUUAGAAGAUACAAUGACGAAGACUCAUACGGACUUCGACUACACCAUCAAAGCUUUGAGAAGCAAGAAGCAGUUGGUUAGUGUUUUGGAGUCGAAUAUGACUUGAUGGCAUGUGUAUGAGUGAGUAUAAAAACUAGAACCGCAACGGAUCUUAAAAGCCUAAGUAUUGUAUCCUUGUUAGAAGAUACAUAGACAAAGUCUCAUACGGAAUUCGGCUAAACCAUCAAAGCUUUUAGAAGCAAGAAGAAGGUUGGUUAGUGUUUUGGAGUGAAAUCUAACUAGAUGUCAUGUGUAUGAGUGAGUAUACGAACUAGAACCACAAUUGGAAUUUUAAAAGCCUAAGUAUUAUAUCCUUGUUAGAAGAUACAAAGACAAACACUCAUACGGACUUUGGCUACACCAUCAAAGCUUUGAGAAGCAAGAAGAAGCUUGGUUAGUGUUUUGGAGUCGAAUAUGACUUGAUGUGAUGUGUAUGAUUGAGUAUAAGAAAUUAAACCGCAACCGGAUCUUAAAAGCCUAAGUAUUGUUUCCUUGUUAGAAGAAACAAAGGCAAAGCCUCAUACAAACUUUAGCUUUACCAUCAAAGCCUUGAGAAGAAAGAAGAAGCUUGGUUAGUGUUUUGGAGUCAAAUAUUAGUAGAUGUCAUGUGUAUGAGUGAGUAUGACAACUAGAACCAUAACCGGAUCUUAAAAACCUAAGUAUUGAAUCUUUGUAAGAAGAUACAAAGACAAAGACUCAUACGGACUUCGACUACACUAUCAAAGCUUUGAGAAGCAAGAAGAAGCUUGGUUAGUGUUUUGGAUUCGAAUAUGACUUGAUGUCAUGUGUAUGACUCAGUAUAAACACUAGAACCGCAACGGAUCUUAAAAGCAUAAGUAUUGUAUCAUUGUUAGAAGAUACAAUGACGAAGACUCAUACGAACUUCGACUACACCAUCAAAGCUUUGAGAAGCAAGAAGCAGUUGGUUAGUGUUUUGGAGUCGAAUAUGACUUGAUGGCAUGUGUAUGAGUGAGUAUAAAAACUAGAACCGCAACGGAUCUUAAAAGCCUAAAUAUUGUAUCCUUGUUAGAAGAUACAUAGACAAAGUCUCAUACGGAAUUCGGCUAAACCAUCAAAGCUUUUAGAAGCAAGAAGAAGGUUGGUUAGUGUUUUGGAGUGAAAUCUAACUAGAUGUCAUGUGUAUGAGUGAGUAUACCAACUAGAACCACAAUUGGAAUUUUAAAAGCCUAAGUAUUAUAUCCUUGUUAGAAGAUACAAAGACAAACACUCAUACGGACUUUGGCUACACCAUCAAAGCUUUGAGAAGCAAGAAGAAGCUUGGUUAGUGUUUUGGAGUCGAAUAUGACUUGAUGUGAUGUGUAUGAUUGAGUAUAAGAAAUUAAACCGCAACCGGAUCUUAAAAGCCUAAGUAUUGUUUCCUUGUUAGAAGAAACAAAGGCAAAGCCUCAUACAAACUUUAGCUUUACCAUCAAAGCCUUGAGAAGAAAGAAGAAGCUUGGUUAGUGUUUUGGAGUCAAAUAUUACUAGAUGUCAUGUGUAUGAGUGAGUAUGACAACUAGAACCAUAACCGGAUCUUAAAAACCUAAGUAUUGAAUCUUUGGAAGAAGAUACAAAGACAAAGACUCAUACGGACUUCGACUACACUAUCAAAGCUCUGAGAAGCAAGAAGAAGCUUGGUUAGUGUUUUGGAUUCGAAUAUGACUUGAUGUCAUGUGUAUGACUCAGUAUAAACACUAGAACCGCAACGGAUCUUAAAAGCAUAAGUAUUGUAUCAUUGUUAGAAGAUACAAUGACGAAGACUCAUACGGACUUCGACUACACCAUCAAAGCUUUGAGAAGCAAGAAGCAGUUGGUUAGUGUUUUGGAGUCGAAUAUGACUUGAUGGCAUGUGUAUGAGUGAGUAUAAAAACUAGAACCGCAACGGAUCUUAAAAGCCUAAAUAUUGUAUCCUUGUUAGAAGAUACAUAGACAAAGUCUCAUACGGAAUUCGGCUAAACCAUCAAAGCUUUUAGAAGCAAGAAGAAGCUUGGUUAGUGUUUUGGAGUGAAAUCUAACUAGAUGUCAUGUGUAUGAGUGAGUAUACCAACUAGAACCACAAUUGGAAUUUUAAAAGCCUAAGUAUUAUAUCCUUGUUAGAAGAUACAAAGACAAACACUCAUACGGACUUUGGCUACACCAUCAAAGCUUUGAGAAGCAAGAAGAAGCUUGGUUAGUGUUUUGGAGUCGAAUAUGACUUGAUGUGAUGUGUAUGAUUGAGUAUAAGAAAUUAAACCGCAACCGGAUCUUAAAAGCCUAAGUAUUGUUUCCUUGUUAGAAGAAACAAAGGCAAAGCCUCAUACAAACUUUAGCUUUACCAUCAAAGCCUUGAGAAGAAAGAAGAAGCUUGGUUAGUGUUUUGGAGUCAAAUAUUACUAGAUGUCAUGUGUAUGAGUGAGUAUGACAACUAGAACCAUAACCGGAUCUUAAAAACCUAAGUAUUGAAUCUUUGUAAGAAGAUACAAAGACAAAGACUCAUACGGACUUCGACUACACUAUCAAAGCUUUGAGAAGCAAGAAGAAGCUUGGUUAGUGUUUUGGAUACGAAUAUGACUUGAUGUCAUGUGUAUGACUCAGUAUAAACACUAGAACCGCAACGGAUCUUAAAAGCAUAAGUAUUGUAUCAUUGUUAGAAGAUACAAUGACGAAGACUCAUACGGACUUCGACUACACCAUCAAAGCUUUGAGAAGCAAGAAGCAGUUGGUUAGUGUUUUGGAGUCGAAUAUGACUUGAUGUCAUGUGUAUGACUCAGUAUAAACACUAGAACCGCAACGGAUCUUAAAAGCAUAAGUAUUGUAUCAUUGUUAGAAGAUACAAUGACGAAGACUCAUACGGACUUCGACUACACCAUCAAAGCUUUGAGCAGCAAGAAGCAGUUUGGUUAGUGUUUUGGAGAAUAAUAUGACUUGAUGUCAUGUGUAUGAGUGAGUAUAAAAACUAGAACCGCAACGGAUCUUAAAAGCCUAAAUAUUGUAUCCUUGUUAGAAGAUACAUAGACAAAGACACAUACGGAAUUCGGCUAAACCAUCAAAACUUUUAGAAGCAAGAAGAAGCUUGGUUAGUGUUUUGGAGUAAAAUAUAACUAGAUGUCAUGUGUAUGAGUGAGUAUACCAACUAGAACCACAAUUGGAAUUUUAAAAGCCUAAGUAUUGUAUCCUUGUUAGAAGAUACAAAGACAAACACUCAUACGGACUUUGGAUACACCAUCAAAGCUUUGAGAAGCAAGAAGAAGCUUGGUUAGUAUUUUGGAGUCGAAUAUGACUAGAUGUGAUGUGUAUGAUUGAGUAUAAGAAAUUAAACCGCAACCGGAUCUUAAAAGCCUAAGUACUGUUUCCUUGUUAGAAGAUACAAAGGCAAAACCUC
rnacentral:sRNA from 1 species